rnacentral:rRNA from 1 species
UACGUAGGGUGCAAGCGUUGUCCGGAAUUAUUGGGCGUAAAAGAGCUCGUAGGCGGUUCGUCGCGUCGGCUGUGAAAUCCCGAGGCUCAACCUCGGGUCUGCAGUCGAUACGGGGCGGACUGGAGUUCGGCAGGGGAGACUGGAAUUCCUGGUGUAGCGGUGAAAUGCGCAGAUAUCAGGAGGAACACCGGUGGCGAAGGCGGGUCUCUGGGCCGAUACUGACGUGAGGAGCGAAAAGCGUGGGGGAGCGAACAGG